UACGGAGGGGGCGAGCGUUAAUCGGAAUUACUGGGCGUAAAGGGUGCGUAGGUUGUUUGUUAAGUUAUCUGUGAAAUUCCUGGGCUUAACCUAGGGUGGUCAGAUGAUACUGGCGGACUUGAGUAUAGGAGAGGGCAGUGGAAUUUCCGGUGUAGCGGUGAAAUGCGUAGAGAUCGGAAGGAACACCAGUGGCGAAGGCGGCUGCCUGGCCUAAUACUGACACUGAGGCACGAAAGCGUGGGUAGCAAACAGG
rnacentral:misc_RNA from 1 species